UACGUAGGGGGCUAGCGUUGUCCGGAUUUAUUGGGCGUAAAGAGCGUGUAGGCGGCCAGGUAGGUCUGCUGAGAAAACUCGAGGCUCAACCUCGAGACGUCGGCGGAAACCAUCUGGCUAGAGUCCGGAAGAGGAGAGUGGAAUUCCUGGUGUAGCGGUGAAAUGCGCAGAUAUCAGGAAGAACACCCGUGGCGAAGGCGGCUCUCUGGGACGGUACUGACGCUGAGACGCGAAAGCGUGGGGAGCGAACAGG
rnacentral:rRNA from 1 species